rnacentral:rRNA from 1 species
CCUACGGGCGGCAGCAGUGGGGAAUAUUGCACAAUGGGGGAAACCCUGAUGCAGCAACGCCGCGUGAGCGAUGAAGGCCUUCGGGUUGUAAACUGCUUUUGUACGGAACGAAACGGCCUUUUCUAAUAAAGAGGGCUAAUGACGGUACCGUAAGAAUAAGCACCGGCUAACUACGUGCCAGCAGCCGCGGUAAUACGUAGGGUGCAAGCGUUAUCCGGAAUCACUGGGUGUAAAGGGUGCGUAGGCGGUAGGGCAAGUCAGAUGUGAAAGCCCGGGGCUCAACCCCGGGACUGCAUUUGAAACUGUCUUACUAGAGUGCAGGAGAGGAAAGCGGAAUUCCUAGUGUAGCGGUGAAAUGCGUAGAUAUUAGGAAGAACACCAGUGGCGAAGGCGGCUUUCUGGACUGUAACUGACGCUGAGGCACGAAAGCGUGGGGAGCGAACAGGAUUAGAUACCCGGGUAGUC